AGGANUCGCAUGGAGAAGUCUGACGGAGCAACGCCGCGUGAGUGAUGAAGGUUUUCGGAUCGUAAAGCUCUGUUGUUAGGGAAGAACAAGUGCCGUUCNAAUAGGGCGGCACCUUGACGGUACCUAACCAGAAAGCCACGGCUAACUACGUGCCAGCAGCCGCGGUAAUACGUAGGUGGCAAGCGUUGUCCGGAAUUAUUGGGCGUAAAGGGCUCGCAGGCGGUUUCUUAAGUCUGAUGUGAAAGCCCCCGGCUCAACCGGGGAGGGUCAUUGGAAACUGGGGAACUUGAGUGCAGAAGAGGAGAGUGGAAUUCCACGUGUAGCGGUGAAAUGCGUAGAGAUGUGGAGGAACACCAGUGGCGAAGGCGACUCUCUGGUCUGUAACUGACGCUGAGGAGCGAAAGCGUGGGGAGCGAACAGGAUUAGAUACCCUGNAGGUUCCACGCAA
rnacentral:rRNA from 1 species